UACGAAGGGGACUAGCGUUGUUCGGAAUUACUGGGCGUAAAGCGCACGUAGGCGGAUUCGUAAGUCAGGGGUGAAAUCCCGGGGCUCAACCUCGGAACUGCCUUUGAUACUGCGGAUCUCGAGUCCGAUAGAGGUGGGUGGAAUUCCUAGUGUAGAGGUGAAAUUCGUAGAUAUUAGGAAGAACACCGGUGGCGAAGGCGGCCCACUGGAUCGGUACUGACGCUGAGUGCGAAAGCGUGGGGAGGCAAACAGG
rnacentral:rRNA from 1 species